rnacentral:pre_miRNA from 1 species
GAUUAGUCUUGAGGAUGAUCGUUUGGUCAUGCUGGGAAAGACAGAAACUUUCUGCUCCGGAAAAGAAUUUUUAUUUUUUUCUAUAAGAGAUUUUGAGUUGAUUCUUUUUGCUGCAGAUUGCUACACAAAUUCUUCAGACUGUCAUAAUUUUUCAGAAUUUUUGAAGUACCAGAGUUAUGCGAAACAUACAGAUUGCUACAGACUGGUCUGCUAUUAAC